rnacentral:rRNA from 1 species
CGGGUGAGUAAUGUCUGGGAAACUGCCUGAUGGCGGGGGAUAACUACUGGAAACGGUAGCUAAUACCGCAUAAUGUCUGCGGACCAAAGCGGGGGACCUUCGGGCCUCUUGCCAUCGGAUGUGCCCAGAUGGGAUUAGCUAGUAGGUGGGGUAACGGCUCACCUAGGCGACGAUCCCUAGCUGGUCUGAGAGGAUGACCAGCCACACUGGAACUGAGACACGGUCCAG